AGUUGUUUAGCUUAUAAUAAAGCAUAUAUUUUGAAAAUAUAAGAUAGAAUUUAAUUUAAUAACUU
rnacentral:tRNA from 1 species